GAUACGCGUCAGGGAGGAUGGACGGGAGGAAGAGGGCAGGAGGGGCUGAAAAAGCCAGGUUGAAAAAAAGAAAGGCAUUGGAGGAGGAUGCUGCCAAAUGUGCCAAGCUUCCCGAUUUAUUUUCAAGAGGACAAACACAAGUGGCAACUGCUUCGGAGCAGCAGAUAAGAGUCUCCUGCUGAAAAUGAUGAGCCCGACAUUUGCAAUGAGGAGGCCAUGACUUCAGGGACAUGUAGAGAGGAUAACAGAGGAAACUAUAUGAAUUAAAGUUAUAUAUUCUAAGAAAGAGCAGUACAGUACUUGAUGAACCAAUAUGCAUUGUUUGCUCAGAAGUGGGUGUAGUAAAGGAGUAAAUCACCACUAUAUAAUACUCAUGCAGAAAAAUGAUAAUGACCAUGACUAUGACGGCCCCCAUGAGGUCUCACUCCAACAAAUCUGGCCUACUGCCUCAUCUGAGUCUGACACCCCUGCUACGCCCUUCUGCCUUUUUUAAUGUUAUGCAUAUUUUUUGUUAACUUCUCAUCUUAAGUGGAUUAUUAUUGUUGUAUUUAACCGUUACAUUAUUUGUUGGACCAUGGUAUUAAUAAAAGAACUACAGGAUA